CCCUUAGAUGUUCUGGGCCGCACGCGCGCUACACUGAAUGGAUCAACGUGUUUUCCCUUCCCGAGAGGGACGGGUAACCCGCUGAACCCCAUUCGUGGUAGGGAUCGGAGCUUGCAAUUGUUCUCCGUGAACCAGGAAUUCCCAGUAAGCGCAAGUCAUAAGCUUGCGUUGAUUACGUCCCUGCCCUUUGUACACACCGCCCGUCGCACCUACCGAUUGAAUGGUCCGGUGAAGCCUCCGGAUUGGCGCGCACCUCGGUGCCGCCGAGAAGUUGGCUAAACCUUACCAUUUAGAGGAAGGUGAANUCGUAACA
rnacentral:rRNA from 1 species